AUGAACGCUGGCGGCGUGCCUAAUACAUGCAAGUCGAGCGAACAGAUGAGGAGCUUGCUCCUCUGACGUUAGCGGCGGACGGGUGAGUAACACGUGGAUAACCUACCUAUAAGACUGGGAUAACUUCGGGAAACCGGAGCUAAUACCGGAUAAUAUAUUGAACCGCAUGGUUCAAUAGUGAAAGACGGUUUUGCUGUCACUUAUAGAUGGAUCCGCGCCGCAUUAGCUAGUUGGUAAGGUAACAGCUUACCAAGGCAACGAUGCGUAGCCGACCUGAGAGGGUGAUCGGCCACACUGGAACUGAGACACGGUCCAGACUCCUACGGGAGGCAGCAGUAGGGAAUCUUCCGCAAUGGGCGAAAGCCUGACGGAGCAACGCCGCGUGAGUGAUGAAGGUCUUCGGAUCGUAAAACUCUGUUAUUAGGGAAGAACAAAUGUGUAAGUAACUAUGCACGUCUUGACGGUACCUAAUCAGAAAGCCACGGCUAACUACGU
rnacentral:rRNA from 1 species